rnacentral:rRNA from 1 species
AACGAACGCUGGCGGCGCGCCUAACACAUGCAAGUCGAACGAGAAUCCGGGGCAACCCGGUAGUAAAGUGGCAAACGGGUGAGGAAUACAUGGGUAACCUACCCUUGAGAAGGGAAUAACCCGCCGAAAGGUGAGCUAAUACCUUAUACGCUAUUCUUUUUUUCGAAAAGGAUAGGAAAGCCGGGUCGAGGACCUGGUACUCAAGGAGGGGCUCAUGUCCUAUCAGCUUGUUGGUGGGGUAACGGCCUACCAAGGCUACGACGGGUAGCUGGUCUGAGAGGAUGAUCAGCCACACUGGCACUGAGAUACGGGCCAGACUCCUACGGGAGGCAGCAGUGAGGAAUAUUGCGCAAUGGGGACGAAAGCCUGACGCAGCGACGCCGCGGUGGGGGA